UNNUGAGUACUGCUAUGGCCUAUCUUUCUGUCGGGGACGGGCUUCUGGGCUUAANNGUCCGGGACUCGGAGUCGACGUGGUUACUUUGAGUAAAUUAGAGUGUUCAAAGCAGGCUUACGCCCUGAAUACUUUAGCAUGGAAUAACACGAUAGGACUCUGGCCUAUCUUGUUGGUCUGUAGGACUGGAGUAAUGAUUAAGAGGGACAGUCGGGGGCAUUCGUAUUUCAUUGUCAGAGGUGAAAUUCUUGGAUUUAUGAAAGACGAACUACUGCGAAAGCAUUUGCCAAGGAUGUUUUCAUUAAUCAAGAACGAAAGUUGGGGGCUCGAAGACGAUUAGAUACCGUCGUAGUCUCAACCAUAAACGAUGCCGACUAGGGAUUGGCGAAUGUUUUUUUAAUGACUUCGCCAGCACCUUAUGAGAAAUCAAAGUUUUUGGGUUCCGGGGGGAGUAUGGUCGCAAGGCUGNNNCUUAAAGGAAUUGACGGAAGGGCACCACCAGGCGUGGANCNUNNGGCUUAAUUUGACUCAACACGGGAAAACUUACCAGGUCCAGACUNAGUGAGGAUUNACAGAUUGANAGCUCUUUCUUGAUUCUANNA
rnacentral:rRNA from 1 species